rnacentral:lncRNA from 10 species
GAGGUUGGCUGAAGGGUGGCCUGUCUCAUUAGCUCUGGCAGGCUAAGUCUGCCAGGGAGGAGCUGACACGAAGAUUGCUUUUUUUAAUUACUCUGUUAAUUGAUAUAAAACAGAAAGGACGCAGAUUAGUUGCGUGCAAUUAGCAAAUUAAUUCUCAGCAAUUACAGACUUAAUAAUGGAGCGGCUUUGCGGUCGCAUGUUGGGCUCUGUGGCUUAUUGAUUGUGUUUUUCAGAGGGAGAGAUUUAUGGAGAAGGCAGGAGGGGGCGGGGAGGGUGCCUUGAGUCCCCCGUCCUCCAGAGAGAAAACAUAUGGGCUUCGGGAAAUGGAAAUAAGACCCUGUGCAGUGCUGCCUCACCCCCACCAGAAUGGCCCAAACCGGAAAGACUGGCUGGGCAGUGCUGGGGGGCUGCAGGCAGCGGACGCUCACACUGUCUGGGGCUGUGCAUGGUGCGGCCACUUCAGAACCGCUUGACACUUUCUAGUACAGUCAAAUAUACACCCACCAUAUGACCCAGAAAUUCCAGCCCCAGAUGUUGCAUGGGAGAAAUGAAAGCAUUUGCUGGCUCCAAGGCCGGUACCUGGAGGCUCACAGCAGCGUCACUCACAAUCGCGUCCAACGGGAAGCAGCCUGAGCAUCCAUGAGUGCAGGAGCGUCCACCGUGCAGUAGACACUGCCCAGCAAUGCAACGAGCGGCGUGCAGCGGACACUGCCCAGCAAUGCAGCGAGCGACAUGCCGCGGACACUGCCCAGCAAUGCAGCGAGCGACGUGCAGUGGACACUGCCCAGCAAUGCAGCAGGACACAGCGGGCAUGUGCUUUCCUGUGUGAGCAUGUCCUGUGUGCAUGUGUGCCUGCGUCUAUGUUCGUCUCAGUGCUUUGGGAGGCUGAGGCAGGAGGAUCACUGGAGCCCAGGAGGUUGAGGCUGCUGUGAGCCAUGACAGCGGUCCACACCGCGUUAACCCCCUUGCUCCUGUCUGCGUGGUGGCUGGUCGUCCAGACAGACUGUGGAUUCGGUCCACACCGCGUUCACCCCCUCGCUCCUGUCUGCGUGGUGGCUGGUCAUCCAGACAGACUGUGGAUUCGGUCCACACUGCGUUAACCCCCUCGCUCCUGUCUGCGUGGUGGCUGGUCGUCCAGACAGACUGUGGAUUUGGUCCACACUGUGUUCACCCCCUCGCUCCUGUCUUCGUGGUGAGGUUGUCCAGGCAGGCUGUGGAUUCAGUCCACACUGCGUUCACCUCCUCACUCCUGUCUUCGUGGUGAGGUUGUCCAGGUAGGCUGUGGAUUCAGUCCAUACUUCGUUCACCCCCUCACUCCUGUCUGCCUGGUGGCUGGUUGUCCGGGCAGGUCGGGUGCUGGGGGAUGUCACGUGCCCCUAAGAGGCAGCCCUUUGAC